UGCUAUGGAUUUUACAUGUUAUCUCAUUUAAACUGAUGCUGAUCUGCAGGUGGAGAGAGCUGUGUGGCCAACUUUGGAGACUGCCCCUGUUUCAGCCUCCAGGAGAGUCUGUGACAAGGAGUGGGCUCCCUCUCCAAGGUGCUUGGAUUCCUCUGAAGAAAGAAAGCAAGGAAACAUGAAGUAUGGUGAUGGUGGCAUUUUCAAGGAGAUGGGAAAACUAAGGACCUAAAAUAAGACAUCACUUGCUAAGUCAUACCAUGAGUUGGAACUGAAAUUAACUCCUAGCUCUGCCCUGUGACUUCAAGAC